rnacentral:tRNA from 1 species
UCGACCUUAGCUCAGUUGGUAGAGCGGCGGAGUGUAGUUUGAUUAAUCUAAAUUGGAAAUCCUUAGGUCGCUGGUUUGAAUCCGGCAGGUCGGA